UAGGGAAUCUUCCGCAAUGGACGAAAGUCUGACGGAGCAACNCCGCGUGAGUGAUGAAGGUUUUCGGNUCGUAAANCUCUGUUGUUNGGGAAGAACAAGUANCAGAGUNACUGCNGGUACCUUGACGGUACCUAACCANAAANCCACGGCUAACUACGUGCCAGCANCCGCNGUAAUACGUAGGUGGCAAGCGUUGUCCGGAAUUAUUGGGCGUAAAGCGCGCGCAGGCGGUCCUUUAAGUNUGAUGUGAAAGCCCCCGGCUCAACCGUGGAGGGUCAUUGGAAACUGGGGGACUUGAGUGCAGAAGAGAAGAGUGGAAUUCCNCGUGUAGCGGUGAAAUGCGUAGAGAUGUGGAGGAACACCAGUGGCGAAGGCGNCUCUNUGGUCUGUAACUGACGCUGAGGCGCGAAAGCGUGGGGAGCAAACAGGNUUAGAUACCCUGGUAGUNCACNCCGUAAACGAUGAGUGCUAAGUGUUAGAGGGUUUCAGCCCUUNAGUGCUGCAGCAAACGCAGAAGCACUCCGCCUGGGAUACGCCGC
rnacentral:rRNA from 1 species